rnacentral:rRNA from 1 species
UACGUAGGGGGCAAGCGUUGUCCGGAAUCAUUGGGCGUAAAGAGCGUGUAGGCGGCCCGGUAAGUCCGCUGUGAAAGUCCAGGGCUCAACCCUGGGAUGCCGGUGGAUACUGUCGGGCUCGAGUCCGGAAGAGGCGAGUGGAAUUCCUGGUGUAGCGGUGAAAUGUGCAGAUAUCAGGAGGAACACCAAUGGCGAAGGCAGCUCGCUGGGACGUGACUGACGCUGAGACGCGAAAGCGUGGGGAGCAAACAGG